AUAUGGCUACUUGCUCAGACCCAGAAAGUUUUGACCAUUUUUGGAAAUGUCAAUCACUCAAUUCUAGUUUAAUCUGUGAACUUUUCGCAAUGAACGCAAAGUCGUCGCAAUCGAACCAUCCCUCUAUGACUCUGGUUCCCUUUUUUUAAUGCUCUGUCCAUCUAACGGUCCUAUGGCAAUCCGUUUUAUUUUUAAUAAAGCAAUCCGUAAAACGGAUUGCCAUAUGCCCAUCAUCUGAAGACAGAUCUGGACACCAGAUCGAAUCUUCAGAGCCCCAAGUAGUAAAAAAAAAAACUGCAUGAAUUAAAAAAGAAACAAAACAAAAACUAAUCAAAGCCUUAUUAAUCCACUGCCCCAAAAGAUGGAAACAUCUUCAGUAUUGUCCAGUGACAUAUUGGAGAGGGCCACGUAAUUACGUUGACGCACGACACCAAUCUUGAAACCAGCUGUGUAAUUGGGCUCGUCCCAACAGGGGAAAGCAGAACGUACUGAUGUCGGUUGGAAAUGAGUCGUCACCAAGUACCUAUCAGCGUUAUAUAAUCAAUCAAGCAGGAAAGCGAGCUUUCUUUCCAUCUUGAGAGCAUCAGCUGGCAGUGAACCUUUUAUGUGAAAAGGUUUUCUCCAAUUCAAUAAGCGUGUCACUCUACCAGUCUACUAGCAAUCACAAAAUGAAAAGAGUGCUGUUGUCCGGGGAAACCCAAUCUUUGAUUCUUACUCUUUUGACUACCUUCUAGGCCCUUUGUGCAAGACUGACAGAGCAGUGAAAAAAACCUCUUUCAACUCCUUAUCAGCUGACCUGGACAGCUAGCCCAUAAAUCUUGACUAUAUAUCCAUUUAAGAAAAAUAACUACUCUGUGGCAUGUCUUUAUAGCGCCUUAAAAUGGAACGUAUUUCACCUUCAUGACUUCCUAUCCUUCACGCCAUUUUUCCCCAUUAAUGUUUCUUAAAAGCCUCUUUCGUGCAGGACGACAACAACAACAACGCCAAUGACUUAACCGUUUCACUCCACCAGGCGAUUUGUAACUUGAGAUGUAAAGCCCUUCGAGAUCCGUGCGGACCAUGUCCUCGUAUCGCAGUGCCAACGAAUAGUUGUUGCCUGGCAUAAGUCAAAGUGACAUCCUUGCCGUGAAAGACAAUAAAAUUGGUCUCUUUCUGGACGGCGAA